rnacentral:rRNA from 1 species
CAAUAGCGUAUAUUAAAGUUGUUGCAGUUAAAAAGCUCGUAGUUGAAUUUUUGCUUGCCGCCGAUGUCGGAACUUCCGUACGUUCGGCGGCGUGCAUCCUUGGGUGGAACCUGUGUGGCAUUAGGUUGUCGUGCAGGGGAUGCUCAUCGUUUACUGUGAAAAAAUUAGAGCGUUCAAAGCAGGCUUACGCCGUUGAAUAUAUUAGCAUGGAAUAAUAAGAUAGGACCUUGGUACUAUUUUGUUGGUUUGCGCACCGAGGUAAUGAUUAACAGGGACAGUUGGGGGUAUUCGUAUUCCAUUGUCAGAGGUGAAAUUCUUGGAUUUCUGGAAGACGAACUACUGAGAAAGCAUUUACCAAGGAUGUUUUCAUUAA